CUGCAAAAGAAAAUUGGUCAUGAGCUUCUGCCUUCUGCUGGAACAUCAGCAGGCAGAAACUGCCACUUACUAGGAACCCACCCACCAGUACAAGCAGGAAACUACUUUCACUACAAGAACCUUUUAGCAAGGACUGGGAAUAUUUGUCAAGGUUGAAGAAGUAUUGGCGAUUUAUGGGUAGCUACAGGUUUAAUGAAAAAGAAAUUCCAUAUCUCUUGAAUCUUUGAGUGCUGCGCAGUGUGCUAUUCAUAUGAAUCAUUGCUGGGGAUAUGAACCCUGGGACUUGAGCUUGCAAUGCAGACACUCUACUGACUGAGCUAUCUCCUCAGCCCAUGCUCACUUCUUUUUAGCAUUAGGAAUGUUGUUUACUAUGCCAAACAAUAGUCGCUAUGGUACUGCAUUAAGGAAUAUGAGAACAUAAGAUGGAGUGGCAUAAGCAAUUCAUAAAAUUAGGUCUUGUUUUUUGAUGUGCAAAUUAACUUUUUUGUUAAAAAAAUGUAGCUGAAAAAUAAAUGGACCCUCAAGGAUGACAGUAUAAAUGAAAGAAAAUAAAUAUUAGUAAUUUCUUAAGAUCUGUUUUAAGAUGCUAGGAAGAGGAGAAGGUCAAGUUGGCUGUCCACUUUGAAUUAAUCCAAUAUGCCUGCAUGUAUUAUUUAUUUGAUAUUAAAAUAAAAUAAAAUCCUAUAUUCUUGUCCAAUAGCAGAUGCAUUCUUCUAAGAUAUUAGUGUUUCAAUGCAUAGAUUUCUUAGACUUUGGAACUUAUUACUGUCAAUUCAUUGACAGAGAUGGGGAGAGUGUCCUCAUUAGAGGUGGAGUGUCAGGAAGGACAUUUUUCACCUGUGGUAGUAGCAAAUGAUAAUAAAAAAUAUUGCAGUAAUAAUCCUUAUGAUGGAUCUGAGGAUCCCAAGGAAUGAUUCCUGCAAAUAUUCAUGAAUAAUGGGCUCUUUUUUUUCAUAACUCUGAUUCUGAAGUUUUGAUUGAAUAAGAAAUGCACUCACACCUUAAAAAUUCAUAUUGUUUUUGAUAUACAAGUUGUAUAUGAUUAAUCAUUUAUAAUUCUUUAU